rnacentral:rRNA from 1 species
AGGAAUAGCCCAGCACUGAAUCCCGUCGUUGUCACGGCGGCGGGAGAUGUGGUGUUCGGGAGGUUCCGCUUUCUCGUCGUUGUCUUCUCCUGUCCAAGUUCGUCUUGAACGGGGCCGUUUUCCCGUAGAGGGUGCCAGGCCCGUAGCGACGGAGGACGGCGGCGAGAGGGACUCUCCUCAGAGUCGGGUUGCUUGAGAGUGCAGCCCUAAGUGGGUGGUAAACUCCAUCUAAGGCUAAAUAUUACCGCGAGACCGAUAGCGAACA